rnacentral:tRNA from 1 species
GGGAAUAGUUCAAUUGGUAGAGCAACGGUCUCCAAAACCGUGUGUUGGGGGUUCGAGUCCCUCUUCCC